GACGAACGCUGGCGGCGUGCCUAAUACAUGCAAGUUGAGCGCUGAAGGUUGGUACUUGUACCAACUGGAUGAGCAGCGAACGGGUGAGUAACGCGUGGGGAAUCUGCCUUUGAGCGGGGGACAACAUUUGGAAACGAAUGCUAAUACCGCAUAAAAACUUUAAACACAAGUUUUAAGUUUGAAAGAUGCAAUUGCAUCACUCAAAGAUGAUCCCGCGUUGUAUUAGCUAGUUGGUGAGGUAAAGGCCCACCAAGGCGAUGAUACAUAGCCGACCUGAGAGGGUGAUCGGCCACAUUGGGACUGAGACACGGCCCAAAACCCUACGGGAGGCAGCAGUAGGGAAUCUUCGGCAAUGGACGAAAGUCUGACCGAGCAACGCCGCGGGAGUGAAGAAGGGUCUCGGAUCGUAAAACUCUGUUGGUAGAGAAGAACGUUGGGGAGAGUGGAAAGCUCAUCAAGUGACGGUAACUACACAGAAAGGGACGGCUAACUACGUG
rnacentral:rRNA from 1 species